rnacentral:lncRNA from 1 species
AACUCCGACCGCCCGUUGCAGACGCCCGGAGUAUCGUGUGUGCUUUUCCCGCCGGUUCGUCCUGGCUACUUUUUGGUUAAGCAGCCGCAGUGCGUCGCCAAGGCUUUCAGCCCCGCGCCCGCGGCCCGCACCCGAGCCCCGGGGAGGCGUCGCCGCCGACGCUCGAGGAGGGGGCAUAGCCGCGCGCGACCCAGCAUCCCCGAACCCGGAGACUCCCCCCGCUUUGGCUUCGGGCUCAGGGACACCUCCCCGAGGUGUCCCUCACCCCACCACCGCGCGCACCCGUCUGGGAGCUGUGAGCCGCACCUCCGCAGAGGGGCGGGCACCCAGGGCCGGCGUGGCAAGGGCGGGCGAUGCGGGCUCCCAAAGCUGGGAGCUCCGCGGGGCGAGGGGCGGGGCCCCACGACCCCCCUCCCCCCCUCUCCACGGCCCGCCCCGACCCGAGGAGCCCCGGGAAGGGGUUGGCCGAGCCGGCGUGGCUGCCGCUCGGGUCGCAUCUGCCCGAGGAAGGGAGGACGCCCGGGGCUCCCGGGAGGCGGAGGGUCCAGUCCUCCCCGGGCGUCGGCUGCCGGGGCAGGCUGUGCGGGCUCAGCCAGUGCGGCGCGGCGCGCGUGGGUGUCCCUCUCCGCCGCGCACCGAUCAGCACCCGGCGGGGCCGCCCUCGUCGCCCGCGCGUCCUCCGGCGCCCCGGGAUCGCGGCGAGCGCAGCCGGGGUGGUGGCCGAGCCCGCGGCGUGGCGGUGAGUGGGCUGGGGACGGAGGGAGGCGGCGGGCCGCUCACCAAAGCCAAGACUUAGGGAACGCCUGCGUGUCUCGGACUGACGCUCAAGCAGCCGUGCCCUGCACCGUACCCCGCACCGACUUCCUCGGCCCUGGCGGGCCGGUUUCUAGCAGCUGUUCGCGGGGAAACUGCCGCCAGCGCUCGGCCGCCCGCGGGCCCCGCUGCCUGCCCGAGGUCGGCUUCCUGGCAGGGCGGCUGCGUUCCCUGCCCUCCCCCCAGAGAGCAGCAUCCUUUGGCUCCGGGGCGCGUCCGCACCUCGAUUUUUGGACGCAGAGGAACGGAAUGCGUGCGUUCCGAACGAGCCUCGCUUGCCGUGGCGAAGAUUUGCUGGGUGACCUGCGGCUGUGCUGGUUGACUUUCUGA